CCCUUAGAUGUUCUGGGCCGCACACGCGCUACACUGAAGGAGGCAGCGUGUACUCCUGGAUCGAAAGAUUUGGGUAACUCGCGAAUCUCCUUCGUGCUAGGGAUUGAGGUUUGCAAUUAUCCUUCAUGAACGAGGAAUUCCCAGUAAGUGCAAGUCAUAAGCUUGCGCUGACUACGUCCCUGCCCUUUGUACACACCGCCCGUCGCUACUACCGAUUGAAUGAUUUAGUGAGGACUUCGGACUGGGACCGAUGCGGCUUUCGGGCUGCGUCGGUAUUCUGGAAAGAUGUCCAAACUGUAUCAUUUAGAGGAAGUAAAAGUCGUANCA
rnacentral:rRNA from 1 species